ACCAGGAUUAGUUGCAGUUUUUGUUCCACCCCGGUCGGUUCCCUGUGCAACGAUCGUGUAAUACGUAGUUCGGAGUUCGUUUCGUUUAAGGUGUUUUUAUUGCGGAGGCAGAUAUUCGCGGUUACAAUUUAAGUUGUAAUGUCAACAGAAGCGUGGCAAUGAAGUUAUUCACCAUCACCGCAUUACUGAUAGCGAUCGCGUCUCGUAGCCACCAGAAAACUUCGCCCUGUCCAACGGUUUUCAACUAUGAUGAACAGGACGAUAGUCAAGACACGUGGUACGGAACGCUGCGAUUGAAAACAAACGUUCCACUACACGGAAUUUUCAUAGAUGUGAUCUUCGAUGGUCAAAUUUAUGUUUUUGGGGCGUACUUCAAAGAUGUCACGACGAAGGAUAACCUACACUUCCACAUUGAGGACAAAUCGUAUCGGUUGAACGCCGGUGAAACGCUUAUUUUGAAAUUCUACGUAAAACAUUCGGACUACGGGAGGGUCCCGAAGCUGCAUCAGGUUCGUUUCAAUGGACAGAACAUUUGCGUAGACGUACCGUCCUUAAGACCGGUUACAGAUCAACAUGUUAAAACAAGCAUAGCGAACACGUACGAUAGACCUAUAGUAUAUCGAGGUGAAUCAGAGAGGCAUGAAAGUCGACCGAAAACCAGUGAUAACAAGCAUGAAAUGUAUGUCGUUCAUUCAGUUCAGCCUAUUAACUCAAUUGUUCAUCAUAGCUCUGAUGUUCCGAAUACUAACACGCACGUAUCAACACCCUCUCCCGAUUCAGUUUUCCCGGAAUCACAAGUUGAUCCCUUAUUCAUGAAAUCAAGAUUUUCAGAGACAUCAAGCAAAUACAAUGAAUCUAGCAUCAAUCAAAAACUACAACCCAAUGCACCUAAAAACUAUGAUACUUAUGACCCAAUACAAGAUCCUACAAUUUGGAAGAAACCCACGAACAGUCAGUCUUCAACAGACAGAACAACGUCCAAACCAACCCGACAAACGGUAUCUAGUCAUGAAGGUUCUCGGAUAAACGGCUACGCUACUAGCAGAACUACAACAGACGACCCUCUGCCCAGCAGAGAGUUUCGUACUACAACAACGACAGAGCCUCCGUCAUAUUUCCAAGGAGAUUAUAAUCGGAAGCAGCCUUCAACCGUAAAACCAACUUUCUUUCAAGGAGACUACGCAUUCAUUCAAAAUGUGGAGAGCUCGACUCACUACAUCAAUUCGUACGACGAGGACAUCUGCGGCACAGUAGUGCCAAAGGCGAAUCCACUUGUAACCCAUGGGUCACCGGUUCAUCACGCACAAUUUCCAUGGCACGGGGCCCUCUAUCGGUCAUCGGUUACCGAGCUGAAGUAUCUGUGCGGCGCAACACUCAUAUCUGUUCGUUUCGCUCUCACGGCAGCUCAUUGCGUGGCGCUAGAAAAAUCUCGGCGUCCUGUUGAGUCCGGCAGCCUGUUACUAUACCUGGGAAAAACAGACCUGAAACGAUGGAACGGUCCCGAACAGGAUGCCAAAAUCGAUCGGGUACUGAUCCACAACGACUAUAACUUUGAACGGUUCUUUGCCGAUAUCGCAUUGCUGAAGUUGAAGGCCGAUGUUAAAUUCGGUCAUUUUGUUCGGCCGGCUUGCCUUUGGAAUUUUGAUGAAGACUACAAGAUACUGAUUAAUAAGGUUGGUCUAGUGCCUGGCUGGGGAUAUAAUGAAAAAGGACUGGUGAGUGAGCAACUGUCCUACGCACAGAUGCCGGUGGUCGCUCACGAGACGUGCAUUUGGUCGAAUCGAGACUUUUUCAGCAAGGUUACCUCCAAUACAUCAUUCUGCGCUGGAUUUAGAAAUGGAACAUCUGUAUGUAACGGCGAUAGCGGAGGAGGAAUGGUUUUCAAGCAGAGCAACCGGUGGUUUCUGCGAGGAAUCGUAUCGGUUAGUGCCGCACUGCAGAACAAAGUUAGCUGCGAUCCGAAUCAUUAUGCAGUGUUUACGGAUGUGGCUAAGUUUUUACCGUGGAUCAAUAGUUAUAUGUGAACCUUACAGCAUGUAUCAGUUUAGUAAAAGGGGAAAUUUUCAAUUGGAUGCAGCUGGAGUACGAGGGGGAGGGGGUUUGGCGUUCUUGGGAACAACUGGGAUCUUCAAACGCUCCUUCUCCUUCAGUAAUUGUUUUGCGUAAUAGGCCGACGCCAGAUCCGGCCAGAAUGCGACUUCGUACUUCAGGUGGUGUUUCUUCAGAGGCUAGUAAGUUUUAGAAUUACUGUAGAAACCUAAUUAUUCAUCGGAUGGUUUCGAAAAAUACCCAAAAAUGAUAAUACCGCUGGAGGUUCGGGGCGCUCGAAGCGCACACCUGGCAUUGCUUUUUAAACAGACCGCUAUGAUUCGAGCCGAACUACUUAACCGACUUGCAUAAAAAAAUUGCAAUGUUCGCAAGACGCCUGGCUAUCGUCCCUACCACUGACAUGAUUUUUCAUUAAUUAUUGGCAAUGAUAUAGUAAAAUUUAUGUUAAAAAUCAUGGGAAUAAUCGACAAAAAUAAAUGUUAACAACUUUUCUAUAUUCCAUAUUCUAUAUUCUGGUAGGAACGAUAACCGUUCACAUACUUUUGAAGAAUCAAUUGGGUUUUCCUGUUUUAGAUCAUCCAAACCAAAACAUGAGAAAUCGUGGCUGCCAGAAAAAAAAAACUAACUUCAUUUACCUAGCUAAUUAUUCGACAGACAUUCGAAAAAAAAU